UGUUUCACCCGCUUCUGAUUAUUCGCAGAUACGGUUUCCCUCACAAGCCCUACAUGCUGGGUUGUGCUUAGCAAAGCCAUAAUUAAAAGUCUAAUUUAUUGAGAAAGGGCAAAAGUAGAUGUUUUCUGUUUAUUUUUCAUUAUAGCAAUACUAAGUUACGUUUCUACCACUAUUACUUUUAUUGUGUGCAUCUAAGUAUGAGUCUGUAUAACAGGAAGGUGGACGUGUUCUUCUCCAUUGACCAAAAGGCUAGAGGAUAAUUUUCCAUCACCUGAAGGUCUUCAAAGCCAACAUUUCCAGUCAGGCAGGUAGUCUCUGGCCCACUCCUAUGGGGAUUACCACCAUCAUCGUGGCCAAGGAAGAUUUCCAGAAGGGAGUGAUAUCUAACUGAAUAUGAAGAAAGGACAUUAAUUAGUGAAGCAGAGAGAGGAGGGGAAAGACUUGCAGGCAGAUAGAUGAGCACAGAUAAACAUCUGGAAGUGAAAGAAUACAUGGCGUUUGGGGGAAACUACAAGGAACUCAUUUUUGACUGGAUAAUAUUUUGAUACUUGAAGUACAUAAAAACGUACUUAAAGAAGUAAAUGUGCUCUCUCUCUCUGCCUGUCUCUCUGCCUGCUUAUGA